rnacentral:rRNA from 1 species
GAUGAACGCUGGCGGCGUGCCUAAUACAUGCAAGUCGAGCGAACGGACGAGAAGCUUGCUUCUCUGAUGUUAGCGGCGGACGGGUGAGUAACACGUGGAUAACCUACCUAUAAGACUGGGAUAACUUCGGGAAACCGGAGCUAAUACCGGAUAAUAUUUUGAACCGCAUGGUUCAAAAGUGAAAGACGGUCUUGCUGUCACUUAUAGAUGGAUCCGCGCUGCAUUAGCUAGUUGGUAAGGUAACGGCUUACCAAGGCAACGAUGCAUAGCCGACCUGAGAGGGUGAUCGGCCAGACGGAAAGAGAGACGGGGACCAGCGUGCGGCGGGAGGGGGCAGGAGGGUCUCUUCCGGAGUGGGCGAAAGACAGACGGAGCCGCGGCGCGUGAGUGAGGAGUCUCUUGGGAUCAAAAAACUGUGUUAGUAGAAAAGAAGAUAUGUGUAAGUAGCUGUGCACCUAUUGGCUGUACAAAGAAAGAGAGCCACAGCUAACUG